UGCCAGACUCCUACGGGAGGCAGCAGUGGGGAAUAUUGCACAAUGGGGGAAACCCUGAUGCAGCGACGCCGCGUGAGUGAAGAAGUAUUUCGGUAUGUAAAGCUCUAUCAGCAGGGAAGAAAAUGACGGUACCUGACUAAGAAGCCCCGGCUAACUACGUGCCAGCAGCCGCGGUAAUACGUAGGGGGCAAGCGUUAUCCGGAUUUACUGGGUGUAAAGGGAGCGUAGACGGCAUGGCAAGUCAGAUGUGAAAGCCCGGGGCUCAACCCCGGGACUGCAUUUGAAACUGUCAGGCUGGAGUGCAGGAGAGGUAAGUGGAAUUCCUAGUGUAGCGGUGAAAUGCGUAGAUAUAAGGAAGAACACCAGUGGCGAAGGCGGAUGACUGGACGGCAACUGACGGUGAGGCGCGAAAGCGUGGGGAGCAAACAGGAUUAGAUACCCCUGUAAG
rnacentral:rRNA from 1 species